rnacentral:sRNA from 1 species
GCUGGGCAUGGUGGUGCAUGCUUGUAAUCUCAGCAACUUGGGAGGCUGAGGCAGGAGGAUCACAAGUUCCAGGCCAGACUCAGCAACUUAGCAAGGCCCAAAGCAACAUAGCAAGACCCUGUCUUAA